rnacentral:miRNA from 1 species
UGGGGGAGGGUGUAGAGGCU